rnacentral:lncRNA from 1 species
UUUUUUUUUUUUUUUAAAUGUAUCAGUUUUAGGCAAUGUCUGCUGACUUCCUACUCUCAGGGGCAAGUGCGUGGCAGUCCUAGACUCGAUUACCCAGGAUAGUCUUUCAAUAAUUUGGGGUUAAGAUGCUGUUUGGUGUUUACUUUGCUGUGCUUAUGUUCACUGCUAAAGCACAGUGUAUAAUAUAGUUCCAUUUUCUUUCUUGUACCCUGCAUUGUUUUUCCUGGGGUAAACUCAUUUCAUUUUGUGUUUUCUCAGUUGAUCCUAUGCCCUGACUCCCUGACAUGAAGCUAAAACUCUCCUUGACUCAAUUUCCCACUGAGUCAAAUAUACCAACAGCAAUCUAUCUGUUCCAUUUCUCUCUUUCUUUCUUUCUUUUUUUUUUUUCCUGAAACCCUCUACCUCCUUGCACCAGUAUGACAGCUUCUUGUUACAUACAUAUUCAUAACUGAAGCAUAUUUUGUGGGAAUUGGUUGGUGAAAUAUAUUUUCUGCAAGUUGCUUAUCAUACCCUGUAUUUGCUUUUUGGGGUCUUAAUAUACCUCUUAUCAACAUUCAUGUAUCUUUUAAAUCCAUUGUAAAUCCAUUGCCAUUGCUGUUGAAAACAUUUCCUCCAAACUUUUUAUUCUGUGGUAUAGGUUGCAGACACGGCCUGGAUCCACGGAGUCUUGCUGUGGCUCUGGCGUAGGCCGGUGGCUACAGCUCCAAUUAGACCCCUAGCCUGGAAGGUCCAUAUGCCGCGGGUACGGCCCUAGAAAAGACAAAAACAAAACAAAACAAAAAAAAAACCAAAAGGAUGCACAUCAGGCCUGCAUCUCUGUGGCUGUCCCCACACAGGGCAGAAUUGCUGCUCUCUGCGCACAUCUGUCACAAGGGUUUUGAGGGUUGCAGUCCACGGGUCCUGAAGGUUGGAGCAGAGCCGGAGGGAAAGGGAAAUUUCAAAUGCAGUUCUGUUCCAUUGUGGAAACAUUUGUGAUACCGGUGGGAUUUCAGUGUUUCCGUCAAAGACAGGGAGCUUGACCACUGCAGAGAAAGGAUACCUUCUCAAAAGAAGACAGAAAAGGCAUGUAUGAUUCCUUGGGAGGCGCCAAGACCUGUAUGAUACUCUUCCUCGCUUAUCCCUUCUUUUUUUUUUUUUUUUUCCUUUUUUUUUCUUUUUUUGCUUUUUAGGACCGAACCCUCAGCAUAUGGAGAUUCCCAGGCUAGGGGUCGAAUUGGAGCUGCACCUGCUGGCCUACCCCACAACCGCAGCAAUGUGGGAUCCGAGCCACAUCUGCGACCUGCACCACAACGCACAGCAACGCCAGGUCCUCAACCCACCGAGCCAGGCCAGGGAUCAAACCUACAUCCUCAUGGAUCCUAGUCUUGUUCGUUAACCGCUGAGUCAUGGAGGGAACGCCUCCCACUUAUCCCUUCCAAGAAAACUUUGGAUAGUGUCAAGAUGUAUUAACAGAAAAUUGGUGGACUGGUUUGCCAGGGUGGCUGGAACCAAGUACCACAUUCAUCUUCCUGCAGUUCUGGAAGGCUGACAUGAAGGUGUGGCCAGGUUGGUUUCUCCUGAGGCCUCUCCUUGGCUUGUGGACGGACAGCCUCUUCUCUCGGUGUCUUUACACCCUCUUCCCUCUCUGCAUGUGUGUGUGUCCUCAUGUCCCCUUUUUAUAAGGACAUCAAUCAUGAAGGAUAAGGGCCCACCCGAAUGAUCUCAUUUUCGCUCACUCAGCUCUGUAAAGGCCCUAUGUUCAAGGAAAGUCCCAUUCUGAGGUUCUGGGGGUGGGGCUGGGGGUCCGGACCUCAGCAUAUGAAUUCGGAAGAGGGGCUAAUUCAGCCAGGUAGUUAAGUGGAGUCUGGCCUCUCCUUAGGGUGGCCUUGCUGUGUAGCCAUCAAGAGCUUGAGGGAGCUCUCUGGUCUCACCUUGGAGAGAUUUCUAAGCCAGCUGAAGGGAGCCUUGUACACAGAUGGUUACAGAACGUCGUGAAUGUGAAUGCCACACAAAACCAAGCAAGCUAAAAUAUGCUCAAGGUACAGUUUUUCUUCCACCUUAGAUUGACUUUUUUUUUUUUUUUUUUUCUUUUGCUCUAUUUAGGGCUACACCUGUGGCAUAUGGAGUUUCCCAGGCUAGAGGUCGAAUUGGAGCUGUAGCCCCCAGCCUAUACCACAGCCACAGCAAUGCCAGAUCUGAGCGGUGUCUGUGACCUACAUCACAGCUCACGGAACCGACGGAUCCUUAACCCACUGAGUGAGGCCAGGGAUCGAACCCACAACCUCAUGCAUGCUAGUUGGGUUCAUUGCUGCUGAGCCAUAAGGGAAAUGCUGGCAAGUUUUUUUGUUUUUGUUUUUUUUUUUAAAAAAGAAACAUAAGAUUCAGAGAAAAAAUGAAAAAUAAGGAUGAUGAGAGAUAAGUUCUCACAGGAUCUUCAGGCAGAACAGCCAUGGCAAGUGGACCAACAGAGCCAAAGUCCAUGAGGAAAUUAGUGCAAAGCGAGGGUCACCUUUCCCAGCAGCCAGGGAAGGGAGUGUGGGUCAUUAAUGAAUGGUCUUGGGAAAACUGGCUGAUAAUUUGGAAAAAACAAAACCUGGAUAGGUAUACCAAAAUAAGUUCCAGAUUGAACAGAGAAUAAAAAUAUAGUCGUGAAAUCAUCAGAGUACUAAAAGAAGAUGGGUGAGUUUUAAAA